CCUAGCCCGCAAACACCGCCGCCAUCCGUCAUGCCUCCACAGAUCGCUUCCUCCGUGCGACUGCGCGCAUCCUUCAUCCAUCGGUGCCGCAGUGGUGCGCUCUUCCGUUGGUGCUGGUGGGGCUACUCCGUCUCCGCCGCCAGCGCAGUCACCGCCUCGGCCCUCCUCGCCUCACCUGUGCCACGGUUCCAAAACCCCAACCUCCAGGCUCCAGCCGCCCACUACACCUCCACCCCUCUCACGUCGUGCCACACCCUGCCGGCGGCCUGUAACGGCACCACAAGCCCUGUCCUCUCCGCACCCCCCGGGGGGCGAACCUCCUUGCCGUGUGCUACCAUAUCCUCGCCGCAAGCCCUGUCUCGCAAAGAAACCUGGACGCCAUACCUCCUAGCCGUCGCCACGAACAGCUCCAUCGGAAACUCCACCCGCCAUAUAUGCCUUCGUCGCUUUGCCUGCAAGGCUUCGGUGCGGAGCGUAGAUCCCAGGGGCCAAAGCUGCUGCGUGAGGAUAGAGGCAGCCUGCGAUCUAGGUCACUGGUGGAAAAGGGGAGCAAAAAGCCGAAUGUUUUCUGCUGUUUUGCUCCUUUCUUGUUUGCAUCUGAUUAGAUCCAUGAGUUAUACGCUCCCUCGUAUGCACCCUCCCCCAGCUUAAAAUACUUCAUGUACCUUACCAAUUACAAGCCUUUGAUUUUGGUUGCGUUCUAUUCAUGCUUCUCUGGCCUGAUCUUCCUUUUUUUUCAUUUCUUGAUGUCCUGGCUGAUGAGACGGUACCAAGAGAACCAUAUGUUGCUUCAUGCAACUGAUGAACAUGACCAACUGAUUUUCCUUUUUCAGUUUUCUCGCUCUAAGGUGAAACUGACAGACCCAAGGAAGUACUUUGUGCAGCACGCCUACCGUAUACUGCUGCAUGGAGCUCGGGCAAUGUCAAAGCUAUCAUGAAGGCUCCCAAUGAGUUAAUUACUUUCCCCAGGCUAAUUCAAUGGACAAUGCAGGAAGCUCUAGACCACAAUUGUCUGUAACAACAGCCAAUGAUGAUAGAGGAGGCAAUCUUCACACUGGUCAAGGACCUUGCUACCGACUUGCAAAAUUCACCUUAUGAAAUUAUUGGCUACAGCGGUGUGAAGGUAGUCUCACUUCAAAAACAAAUCAGGCUGCUGCAUAUGUGCGAUAUAUUUGGUUUAAGUUGUA